rnacentral:lncRNA from 13 species
CUGAAAUGAUCAAAGAAUAACUGGCCCACAUUUUGUCUCAAACUAAGACCUUGAUACUAUUUAAAGUAAUCUCUCACAUGUGUGGCACAGUGGAGAAAAACAGGGUAUCAUAUGUUUACUAAACACCUUAAUUUUAAACAACCAAUUUUUAGUUGCUUCCUGAUGCUGUAACAUUGAGAGCACCUCUCACAUUUGAAGAUGAGCGUUAAAGAUGAAUCAAGCGAAGAAUGAAUGCUAGAUUGGUUUUCUAUUUUCUGAGGAUGGUUGUCCUUCAUGUGAUAUUUUUAUCAUUUUCCCCUUAAAAUUAAGAGUGUAGAUACUCCAUCAAAACAUUUAUACAUAGGAUAAUAUCUGACCAAGAGUUCUGCAUGGGGAUUACUUUUGUCAUAGAUGACAACGACUUUAAGGACGAGAAUCUAAAAGAAAGCUGGAGUAAGAGCUAUGAUUACUUAUAAUAGCUGGAAUUUGCAGUACAUCGGUUUUUUUUCUCCCAGGAAUUCCAAGUGGUAAAAUCUAUUAAUCGUUGAAAGAAUGAAAUGCAAAUGGUUUUAUUUGGAUGCCAUGCCACCACUGCCAAAGGAAAUGUCCCAAAGUCCACAGUCACAGAUUCAAGCAAAUGAAAGGAACACGAUUUUGGCUUGUGUAAUAAUUAGCCAUGCCUUCCACGAAUUUCACCUAAGACCAGCUGUAGAAAAGAGCACUGUGAAGAUAUAACCAAAGUUUAUGGCUUGUUAGGAGCCCUUAGACAUUAGUUGAUAUGCUGAAGAGCACUUCUCUGGAAAACAACUCCAAAAGGCAGAAUACAGCCGGUAACGGAAAGAGCACACCAGAACCAGAUUUCUAUCUUAGUUUAUACGAGAUUCCUGAAACAAAUAGACUGCUAAAAUAACAAAUUGUUUUGCCUGGAAUCACUGCCUGUGUAUUUUCCUUGACUGGUCUGUUUAAUGCAGUACUGACUCCUACAAUAACAGGAAGACAUAACAACUUCUUGGAAAUCCUUCCUCUAUUGUGUCAAGCAAGUUCCAGACAGCUCAAGUAAAAAUCCUUAGAUGUAAGCAGAAAAUAAGUACUAUCCCAGCGUGCCCUGGGUUAUCAGUCUGUGCCUCAUAAACUAGCUCCUGAAUUAUGCCACAGUGGUUGUAAGAAAUAAUACACACAGGCUAAGUCUGCAAGUCGAACUGAUGAGCCCAUUCUGAAGGCCAAGUUCGGUAAAAACAAGUCAAGCCAAAAGAGAAACUUAAUUCUUGUAAAGGAUGAACCAGAUGUUUGUAGAGAUCCAGUCCAAUCAAAAGGCACACUUUAGAAAUCAGCUUAUGGGAGACAGAUGGCCAAAGACCCGUCCCUGUGUGCUCUGGGUUUCCUGCCUCCGAUCCUAAAUCUCAAUUUUAUACUUUCUGCUUUGUUUUGUCUGGAGAUUGGUGUUUGUUGUUCUGCUUGAACUGACAAUCAUUUCAGAAGCCUAACAGUUUGUGUGUGUGAAUGUAGUCUUUUGAGAAGACGACAGAUGAAAAUGCUUGGUGUGAAGAAAUGGACAGGCUUUAGAUUUCUUCCUGGCUUUAGUUUCUAGAAUCCGAAAGCUUGUAAGUGACCACAGAAAAAAUAAAGUGUGUGGAAACACCUUCUGAAGCA